rnacentral:rRNA from 1 species
AACGAACGCUGGCGGCAGGCUUAACACAUGCAAGUCGAACGCAUGCCUUCGGGCAUGAGUGGCAGACGGGUGAGUAACGCGUGGGAACCUACCCCUUGGUACGGGAUAGCUCCGGGAAACUGGAGAUAAUACCGUAUGUGUCCUGAGGGACAAAGAUUCAUCGCCAAGGGAUGGGCCCGCGUCGGAUUAGCUAGUUGGUGGGGUAACGGCCUACCAAGGCGACGAUCCGUAGCUGGUCUAAGAGGAUGAUCAGCCACAUCGGGACUGAGACACGGCCCAAACUCCUACGGGAGGCAGCAGUGGGGAAUAUUGGACAAUGGGCGCAAGCCUGAUCCAGCCAUGCCGCGUGAGUGAUGAAGGCCCUAGGGUUGUAAAGCUCUUUCACCGGUGACGAUAAUGACGGUAACCGGAGAAGAAGCCCCGGCUAACUUCGUG